rnacentral:rRNA from 1 species
UGGCUAACUCCUACGGGAGGCAGCAGUGGGGAAUAUUGGACAAUGGGCGAAAGCCUGAUCCAGCCAUGCCGCGUGUGUGAAGAAGGUCUUCGGAUUGUAAAGCUCUUUUGUCAGGGAAGAAACGGUAGUAGCUAAUAUCUAUUACUAAUGACGGUACCUGAAGAAUAAGCACCGGCUAACUACGUGCCAGCAGCCGCGGUAAUACGUAGGGUGCAAGCGUUAAUCGGAAUUACUGGGCGUAAAGCGUGCGCAGGCGGUUGUGUAAGUCAGAUGUGAAAUCCCCGGGCUCAACCUGGGAAUUGCAUUUGAGACUGCACGGCUAGAGUGUGUCAGAGGGGGGUAGAAUUCCACGUGUAGCAGUGAAAUGCGUAGAUAUGUGGAGGAAUACCGAUGGCGAAGGCAGCCCCCUGGGAUAACACUGACGCUCAUGCACGAAAGCGUGGGGAGCAAACAGGAUUAGAUACCCCAGUAGUCCAGCUGG